UGGGGAAUCUUGCGCAAUGGGCGAAAGCCUGACGCAGCAACGCCGCGUGAGGGAAGAAGGCUUUCGGGUUGUAAACCUCUUUCAGGAGGGACGAAGCUUCCGGGGUUAAUAGCCUACGGGGUGACGGUACCUCCAGAAGAAGCCCCGGCUAACUACGUGCCAGCAGCCGCGGUAAUACGUAGGGGGCAAGCGUUGUCCGGAAUCAUUGGGCGUAAAGCGCGUGUAGGUGGCUUGGUAAGUCCGGUGUGAAACCUUGGGGCUCAACCCCAAGCCUGCAUCUGAUACUGCCUCGCUCGAGUUCGGGAGGGGAGAGCGGAAUUCCUAGUGUAGAGGUGAAAUUCGUAGAUAUUAGGAAGAACACCAGUGGCGAAGGCGGCUCACUGGUCCGGUACUGACGCUGAGGUGCGAAAGCGUGGGGAGCAAACAGGAUUAGAUACCCCUGUAGUCCCUGAGCGGGCUGGCAAGGCGCAU
rnacentral:rRNA from 1 species